GAUGAACGCUGGCGGCGUGCCUAAUACAUGCAAGUCGAGCGAACGGAUAAGGAGCUUGCUCCUUUGAAGUUAGCGGCGGACGGGUGAGUAACACGUGGGUAACCUACCUAUAAGACUGGAAUAACUUCGGGAAACCGGAGCUAAUGCCGGAUAACAUUUGGAACUGCAUGGUUCUAAAGUAAAAGAUGGUUUUGCUAUCACUUAUAGAUGGACCCGCGCCGUAUUAGCUAGUUGGUAAGGUAACGGCUUACCAAGGCAACGAUGCGUAGCCGACCUGAGAGGGUGAUCGGCCCCACUGGAACUGCAACACGGUCCAGACUCCAACGGGAGGCAGCAGUAGGGAAUCUUCCGCAAUGGACGAAAGUCUGACGGAGCAACGCCGCGUGAGUGGUGAAGGUUUUCGGAUCGUAAAUCUCUGUUAUUAGGGAAGAACAAAUGUGUAAGUAACUGUGCACAACUUGACGGUACCUAAUCAGAAAGCCACGGCUAACUACGUGCCAGCCGCCGCCGUAA
rnacentral:rRNA from 1 species